rnacentral:rRNA from 1 species
CGAUCCGUAGCGGGUCUGAGAGGAUGACUCCGCCACACUGGGACUGAGACACGGCCAGACUCCGUACGGAGGCAGCAGUGGGGAAUUUGGACAAGUGGGCGCAAGCCUGAUCCAGCCAUGCCGCGUGAGUGAAGAAGGCCUUCGGGUUGUAAAGCUCUUUCGGCUGGGAAGAAAUCGCAUCUCCUAAUACGGGGUGUGGAUGACGGUACCAGCAUAAGAAGCACCGGCUAACUACGUGCCAGCAGCCGCGGUAAUACGUAGGGUGCGAGCGUUAAUCGGAAUUACUGGGCGUAAAGCGUGCGCAGGCGGUUUCGUAAGACAGAGGUGAAAUCCCCGGGCUCAACCUGGGAACUGCCUUUGUGACUGCGAGGCUAGAGUAUGGCAGAGGGGGUGGAAUUCCACGUGUAGCAGUGAAAUGCGUAGAGAUGUGGAGGAACACCGAUGGCGAAGGCAGCCCCCUGGGCCAAUACUGACGCUUAUGCACGAAAGCGUGGGG